rnacentral:rRNA from 1 species
UACGGGGGGAGCAAGCGUUGUUCGGAUUUACUGGGCGUAAAGGGCGCGCAGGCGGCGCAACAAGUCACUUGUGAAAUCUCCGGGCUUAACCCGGAGCGGUCAAGUGAUACUGUCGUGCUAGAGUGCGGAAGGGGCUACUGGAAUUCUCGGUGUAGCGGUGAAAUGCGUAGAUAUCAGGAAGAACACCGGUGGCGAAGGCGGCCACCUGGACGGCAACUGACGCUGAGACGCGAAAGCGUGGGGAGCAAACAGG